rnacentral:rRNA from 1 species
ACGGCGAGUGAACAGGCAAGAGCUCAGAUUUGAAAGCCUCUCGGGGCAUUGUAUUCUGAAGCCUUGAUUCUGAGAAACGGUACCUAAGUCUUCUGGAAAGGAGCGCCAAGGAGGGUGAUAGCCCCGUACGGUACUGACCUCAUUGUAGAAUCUUGGCGUGGAGUCGAGUUGUUUGGGAAUGCAGCUCAAAUGGGUGGUAUGCUCCAUCUAAAGCUAAAUAUCUGCGAGAGACCGAUAGCGAACAAGUACUGUGAAGGAAAGAUGAAAAGAACUUUGAAAAGAGAGUGAAAAAGUACGUGAAAUUGUUGAAAUGGAAGGAUAGGCCGCUAACCACGUAGAGCCGUGUCUGAGGGGAGGAUAAAAGCUGUAGAAUGUGACUCUUCGGAGUGUUAUAGCUACAGUGCAUACUCCCACUCGGGCGCGAGGACCUAAGGCUCUGCUAAAUGGUGGUCUAUCACCCGUCUUGAAC